AUACGAAGGGUGCAAGCGUUACUCGGGAUUACUGGGCGUAAAGCGUGCGUAGGUGGUUGUUUAAGUCUGUCGUGAAAGCCCUGGGCUCAACCUGGGAAUGGCGAUGGAAACUGGGCGACUAGAGUGUGGCAGAGGGUAGUGGAAUUCCUGGUGUAGCAGUGAAAUGCGUAGAGAUCAGGAGGAACAUCCGUGGCGAAGGCGACUGCCUGGGCCAACACUGACACUGAGGCACGAAAGCGUGGGGAGCAAACAGGAUUAGAUACCCUGGUAGUCCACGCCCUAAACGAUGCGAACUGGAUGUUGGGUGCAAUUUGGCACGCAGUAUCGAAGCUAACGCGUUAAGUUCGCCGCCUGGGGAGUACGGUCGCAAGACUGAAACUCAAAUGAAUCGACGGGG
rnacentral:rRNA from 1 species